GGAAGGGGUGUAUUUAUUAGAUAAAAACCAAUGCCCUUCGGGGCUCACUGGUGAUUCAUGAUAACUCCUCGAAUCGCAUGGCCUUGUGCCGGCGAUGGUUCAUUCAAAUUUCUUCCCUAUCAACUUUCGAUGUCUGGGUAUUGGCCAAACAUGGUUGCAACGGGUAACGGAGGGUUAGGGCUCGACCCCGGAGAAGGAGCCUGAGAAACGGCUACUACAUCCAAGGAAGGCAGCAGGCGCGCAAAUUACCCAAUCCCGACACGGGGAGGUAGUGACAAUAAAUACUGAUACAGGGCUCUUUUGGGUCUUGUAAUUGGAAUGAGUACAAUUUAAAUCCCUUAACGAGGAACAAUUGGAGGGCAAGUCUGGUGCCAGCAGCCGCGGUAAUUCCAGCUCCAAUAGCGUAUAUUAAAGUUGUUGUGGUUAAAAAGCUCGUAGUUGAACCUUGGGCCUGGCUGGCCGGUCCGCCUCACCGCGUGUACUGGUCCGGCCGGGCCUUUCCCUCUGUGGAACCCCAUGCCCUUCACUGGGUGUGGCGGGGAACCAGGACUUUUAC
rnacentral:rRNA from 1 species